rnacentral:lncRNA from 1 species
UCUUGGGACAAGCACACACGGGGGCCUCUGAGGAAGAGAGGACUGCACUCUUCUCUGAGUUUGCUAGCUACAAGGAAAGGUACAGCUAGCGCUGCCAGUGGCUUUGUUCAGCCAGAGAAUAAAACCCACACGGGAGAAACUCUGAUCAGGAGAUGGAGAGAGACUAAGCUCUGGCAACACCGUUUGAACCUCUGGGUACAUCCUUACCUGAAGCUAGAUCCUCUCUUUGAUCCAAUACCUGACCUCAUAAAAUCUUUUUUCCCUCUAGGAGCUAGUUUGAAUACUUCUCCAUGUGACUGAAAGAGACAAUCCAAUAAGACUAACACCAUAUCCUGGAGGUGUCAGGUGGGCCUUCUGGAACAAAGACAGAUGCAGGAGUGGAGGAAGUCAGGUUCUGAGGAGGGAUAGACACAUGAAACCAUGGCCGGAGAUGGACAUGAUGGAAUCAAAGGACAUGGGACUCCAACAUUCACCUUUGCUUUCUUUCUCAAGUCUCUACCCUCCAGGGAUGGAAUCUGACACUUUGCUGCCCAAGGAAAGAAUGUAUUUCCUAAGUUCCUUUGCAACUAGGUGCCUGUUUUGACCAAGCCUGAGAGCAACAUCAUGUGAGUAGAUACAAUGUAUGCAGCUGGCAGGCCUUGGCCUUCAAAGGAAGUAGGCAUACCUUCUUCCUCUUUUCCCCUUUUCUUCUGGCUGGGAGAAUGAAGUGCUGGCAAGGGCUGGGCCAUAAAUCGCAGAGAGAAACUGCAAGUGAAGGAUGGCAAAGCAGCAGAUAGAAGAAGCUACCAUAUCACUCCAAUAUUGCCUUCCCAGGCUUUUCAUGCAAGAGUCAAGCUUCUACUUUUGAUUUCUACUCUUGGGGAUUUCUAUGUUAUAACAGCCUAGCAUUAUCCUAACUAAUAUAGAGAGUUUAUCUGUUUUUCCUUUUUUUUUCCCCCCAGCUGUGCCUCAUGACUUGCAGAAUCCCAGUUCCCUGACCAGAGAUUGAACCCGGGCCACAGCAGUGAAAGAAGAGAUCCUGACCACUGGACCGCCAGGGAAUCCCCAGUUUAUCUGUUUUUAAGUCGGGAGAGACUAGAGCAUGUUGUGUGCUCAUGAAAAUAACCCCGUUAAAGAGGAAGGGAUUGAUGAGGAAAGAGUGGGCAGAUAACCGAAGGAACAGGUCCUUGAGAAGAUGAGAAGGAAUGGAAUUCAGGAAACAAGAGAUAGAAUCUUCCUUUCACUGAAGAAACUUGGAUGUGCCUUCCAUUGUGAUAAAGCAAACAUAGGAAUAUUUGUGAAUUUAGUGGUGGGAAGAUGAGGGAGACUCAAGAUAAUUGCAAGAGAGUGAUGCUGUUAUAACCCAUGAAAUCUUGUAUUGGUCGUACUCCUCCACAUUUCAUUUGUUCCCCGAUGCACUCAUCAUUGAUUGAUGAAUCCUUUAUUUUUAUUUAAUUAGUUGUUUGUAGUGAUGUAAUAAGCACCUGCAAAACCACCCGCCAAACUGGAGCCUUGACAAUGACCCACAUCUUUCCCUAUGAUUCCUCCUCCCCCAUGCAUCCCUUGCCUCCCCCAUCCACAGUAACUAUCAUCUUCAAGUCUGUGUACCACAUGCCCUUCGUAUCCUUUUAGUGCAGUUUUAUUCUAUCUGUGCAUAUUUCCAAAAUUUAUGUAUUUUAUAUUAAUUGUUUUUAAUCUCAUUAAAAGAAUACCAUUUUCCCC